rnacentral:lncRNA from 1 species
CUACAUGGUCACCCCGGCCUGCCCACGCGAGAGAGCGCAUGCAAACGCUUGAGGAGACGCGAGCGGCGAAUGGUGGGAAGGGACCGGGAGCCGACCAGACCGGGAAGAGGUUUUGAGACAGGGUUUCUACAUAGCCCUGGCCAUUUUGGAAGUCACUAUGUAGACUAGGCUCACAGAGAUCUUAUCUGCCUGCCUCUUCCUCCUGAGUUCUGGGGUUAAAGGCAUGUGCUACCACACCUGCAGAAGAAGUUAACAUUUAAAUUCCUGGACUUUGAGUAAAGCAUAUCAGCCAUUGUGAUGUGGAUUGGUGUCAUUUAAUCAAUUGAGGGGCUAAUUAGAAUGAAGAAGCUGGUCUGCCCUGAGCACAUGGAAUUCUCCAGAAGACGGUCUUUGAAUAUCAUUGUCAACACUGGCUUUUUCAUUGUCUCUUGGCAGACAGAUGGCUUUUGAAGUCCAUUAGUUCUUUUGAGUCUCCAGGCUGAAUAUCUUGGAACUGACAAGAUACUCCACAAGAGA